GAUGAACGCUGGCGGCGUGCCUAACACAUGCAAGUCGAACGAAGCACUUUUUUACGAUCCCUUCGGGGUGACGAAUUUGUGACUGAGUGGCGGACGGGUGAGUAACGCGUGGGAAACCUGCCUUGUACCGGGGGAUAGCAGUUGGAAACGACUGAUAAUACCGCAUAAGCGCACAGUAUCACAUGAUACAGUGUGAAAAACUCCGGUGGUACAAGAUGGUCCCGCGUCUGAUUAGGCAGUUGGCAGGGUAACGGCCUACCAAACCGACGAUCAGUAGCCGACCUGAGAGGGUGACCGGCCACAUUGGGACUGAGACACGGCCCAGACUCCUACGGGAGGCAGCAGUGGGGAAUAUUGCACAAUGGAGGGAACUCUGAUGCAGCGACGCCGCGUGAACGAUGAAGUAUUUCGGUAUGUAAAGUUCUAUCAGCAGGGAAGAUAAUGACGGUACCUGACUAAGAAGCUCCGGCUAAAUACGUG
rnacentral:rRNA from 1 species